rnacentral:rRNA from 1 species
GAAGCAGGACAAGCACCACAAAAGGGCUCUCCCUCCCUUGGCUCCUUGCAUUCCCUUCUCCUUGCAGACCAGGCCGGGCGCUGGGCCAACCACUUCGUCUGUCUACCUCCUUCCCCGUGCAGAGAAGUUACCUUGUUGCGGGCUGACCUGGAGGCGGCUCCUCCACGUCGACACAAUUGCACGACAAACGUGCUACUGACCACGCAAGCUUCCUCAAGGAGCUCGUGCCCAACGAUACUGAAAGGAAAAACUGCUCCAGUUUUGAACUUCUUAUCCAGUCAUGCUAUUACUGAGUGAAAAAUGGAAAGAAAGUGUAUUGCAAUUGAUCUCUCUUAGACCCUGUCAAUCCUCUAUUUAUCCUUUGUUUGCUUGUUUUUUGGCCUGUAAUUCAAGAACUUUGACCUUCAUAAUUCGGUUUUUGGUUAAUUUGUUAUGCCCAGUACAAACCAUUAAAUCUGAAGAGGCUUCUAAUAGCAAGAAAAUGUGCAGUCGGUGUGGUGUAUAUGUCAUUCAUGUAUGAAAAUUUGCAG